GACGAACGCUGGCGGCGUGCUUAACACAUGCAAGUCGAACGGAAAGGCCCUGCGUUUGUGGGAUUCUCGAGUGGCGAAAGGGUGUGUAUCACGCGUGUAGCCUGCCCUUUACUGUGGGAUAACUUCAGGAAACUGGGGUUAAUACCGGGUAUGAGCUCCUGCUGCAUGGUGGGUGUUGUAAAGUUUCGGCGGUUGGGGAUGGACUGGUGGCUUAUCAGCUUGUUGGUGGGGUAGUGGCUUACCCAGGAGUUGACGGGUAGCCGGCCUGAGAGGGUGACCGGCCACAUUGGGACUGAGAUACGGCCCAGACUGCUACGGGAGGAAGCAGUGGGGAACAUUGCACGAUGGGCGGAAGCCUGAUGCAGCAACGCCGCGUGCGGGAUGACGGCCUUCGGGUUGUAAACCGCUUUCGACUGUGACGAAGAGUGAGUGACGGUAAUGGGUAAAGAAGCACCGGCUAACUACGUG
rnacentral:rRNA from 1 species